AUUAAAAUAUUUACACUGAUGAUUAAUGUUGUGUCUUUGCACCUGUAGCGAUACAUGUUGGAAAAUGGAGACUUUAGCCACCAAGACUGACGUGCCUGGAAACUUCCCUUCACGGGGUUUGUGACUGAAAUGCGUGUGGUCGACGGGAAGCCUGACGAGUACGGCCUGAAUCAUUCCAUCAACACCGGACGGAGUGAAACCUUUGUUGAAAACAGAUUAUAUGGUAACGUUGCAUUUAGCUUCAGUAAACUGUGAAGUUACAGCAGCAGAUUUACAUCACGUGGCUUCACAGGAAGUAGUCUGGACCUCAGCGCUGAGGUUCAAGCAGCUCUGCUUGCAGACGGCAUCCUUCCUGAAAAUGUUCUUCAUCUUCCUCAAACCAGAACUUUUACAUUGGUGCUGAAGUUCUAUAUAAAAACAGCCUGAAAUACAAAGUGAUGUUGUGCACUGAUUACCUCACACUUUCCAUGUUUCCUUCUACAGAGGAGUGUCCGCCUGAGUGUUUUGUCUGAUCUGUUGUUGAUCGUCUCAUUGACACUGCAUGCAGAUCUGACACCAGGGCUGGACUGGGACAAAAAAUGGUCCCGGGCAUUUUGACUGGAGACCGGCCCCCCAGGAAGUAGACUGUUGGUCGAGUUAACCUCCUGAACAUCUACAACACACGGUGGAAACCUGACAUUAAGACAGAGACUAGA